rnacentral:hammerhead_ribozyme from 1 species
AUUGCUGAGGAGUCCCAUACUAGUAUUUUAGUAUUUUAGAUUGAAUAAAACUUCAUAAACAAAGAUGGAUAGUGGCUAGCAGUGGAAUCCAGGACACGCGUUUCGUCCUAUUUGUGACUCGUUAGCUAGAUGGUCCUGCAUUUCAGAGUUGAUGUUCACUCUAGGACUCGAACCCAGUACCGUUCGCUACAAGGACGAAACGCGCGUCCUGAAU